CUCAUCUCGACGCCACAGUAAGCUUCCUUUCGUACAAAUUAAGAGCAACCGUGCCCGGCUUCUAUAAAUUGAGAAUUCCCUUGCUCCGCCCCCUUGUCACAAACCAAACACAACCCCAAACAUAUCCUGCCAUCCACCAUACCCCGGGAAUUCGAAAAUCCCCCCAAAUCGGUCAUCCGCGCCGUUGCGAGACGUCUCGCCGUGGAUAAAGCUCUCUGAGCCGGAACCCCGGAACACUGUGUCGCCACCAUGGAACGCCGCCGUGGACACUCCCUCCGUUGACUCACCGCUCUAUCCUUUCACUCGUCUUCCUGACCAUCGUCCUUGAGUCCAGGGAGAUCGUGGAAUGAGACAGGGCUAUAGACUGGGCUAUAAAUUCACAAUCUAUAGACUGGAAUUGCGAGGCGAAUGCCCGAGCCCGGGUAAUGGAGCUAAGCGUAGCCCUGGAGAAUCUGCAAGCAUACAAUAAUAGUUUGCAUGAGGAAGUGCACGUGUUAUACGACCAGUUGCAUCCGAACGUACCACCGGAGGUUGCAGCAAUGGGAGCCGGAACGUCAGGAGCAGUUGGCGGAGGAUCAUAUGGGGAGUUGGAUCUCUUUGGAGCCCCUUCUUCCAUGAAUCUCGCAGAUGAUCGUUCUCCCGAAGUUGGCAGUGGAGCGGGAGCAGCCAAGGAUGAAGAUAACUAGAGUAGUAUAGUAGGUGGUGGUUUCCUUAUGUAAAUUAAAUAAGGAAAGUUGAGUUGUACCAGUGAGUAUGUAUAAUUAGUACCAGUCUGACAUAAUGUAAUAAAGGUGGUGUAUUUGUGGCAUGUAAUAAUCGAGUAUGUUUAGUUCUUUCUUCU